UUCCGUAGGUGAACUGCGGAAGGAUCAUUACCGAGUGCGGGUCCUUUGGGCCCAACCUCCCAUCCGUGUCUAUUAUACCCUGUUGCUUCGGCGGGCCCGCCGCUUGUCGGCCGCCGGGGGGGCGCCUUUGCCCCCCGGGCCCGUGCCCGCCGGAGACCCCAACACGAACACUGUCUGAAAGCGUGCAGUCUGAGUUGAUUGAAUGCAAUCAGUUAAAACUUUCAACAAUGGAUCUCUUGGUUCCGGCAUCGAUGAAGAACGCAGCGAAAUGCGAUAACUAAUGUGAAUUGCAGAAUUCAGUGAAUCAUCGAGUCUUUGAACGCACAUUGCGCCCCCUGGUAUUCCGGGGGGCAUGCCUGUCCGAGCGUCAUUGCUGCCCUCAAGCCCGGCUUGUGUGUUGGGUCGCCGUCCCCCUCUCCGGGGGGACGGGCCCGAAAGGCAGCGGCGGCACCGCGUCCGAUCCUCGAGCGUAUGGGGCUUUGUCACAUGCUCUGUAGGAUUGGCCGGCGCCUGCCGACGUUUUCCAACCGUUUUUCCAGGUUGACCUCGGAUCAGGUAGGGAUACCCGCUGAACUUAAGCAUAUCAAUAAGCGGAGGAA
rnacentral:rRNA from 1 species